rnacentral:rRNA from 1 species
UACGAAGGGUGCAAACGUUGCUCGGAAUCAUUGGGCGUAAAGCGCACGUAGGCGGCCUUGCAAGUCGGAUGUGAAAUCCCACGGCUCAACCGUGGACGUGCAUCCGAAACUGCUCGGCUCGAGUAUGGAAGAGGGUCGCGGAAUUCCCGGUGUAGAGGUGAAAUUCGUAGAUAUCGGGAGGAACACCAGUGGCGAAGGCGGCGACCUGGGAUAACACUGACGCUCAUGCACGAAAGCGUGGGGAGCAAACAGG